rnacentral:tRNA from 1 species
UCACCCGAUGACUGAAAGUAAGUGUAGGUCUUUUAAACCUAUCAUAGUAUGUCCGCCUACUUCUGGUGAA